AUGGCUUCCAGGGCACAGUCCAGAGCUUCCAGAGCACUGUCUGGGGUUUCCAGAGCCCAGUCCGAGGCUUCCAGGAUACAUUCCAGGGGUUUCUGGAACACAUUCGGGGAUUCCAGGGCACAGUUCAGGAUUCUAGAACACAGCUCUAGACUUUUGAGGCAUAAUCCAUGGUUUCCAGGUUACAGUUCGGGGCUUCCAGAAGACAGUCCAGGGCUUCCAGGACACAGUCCAGGGCUUCCAUGGCACAGUCUGGGGCUUCCAGAGCACUGUCCGGGACAUCCAGAGCACGGUCCAGGGCUUCCAGAAGACGAUAAAAAGUUGUAAAAAUCCUUUGAUGGACAAAUGCUGAGAUUUCGAUGAUAAGGAGACAGGAAAAGAAGGCCCCAAAACACUGGUUAUAGGAAAUACAAGAAGCAGGAGGGGAGUCCUGAGUUCUUACCACUCACCUGGCGGGUGACCUUGGGUAAACCACUUAACGUUUCCUCCGUUUUCUCAUCUGCAAGUCUCACAUUUCCUCUUGCCUUCAAGACCUUUCUACCAGGAUGUCCUGCCAUCACCUCUAACUUAAAAAGAGAACUCAUCAUCUUCCCACCUAAAUCCUGUCCUCCCUCUGACUUUCCCAUCACUGUAGUGGGUCAGUCAAUCGUAUUUAUUGAGUGCUUACUGAGUGCAGAGGACUAUACUAAGUGCUUGAGAGAAUACAAUAUAACAGUAAAACAGACACAUUUCAUGCCCACCACAAGUUUACAGUCUAGAGGGGGAGGCAGAUAUUAAUAUAAAUAAAUGAAAUUACAGAUGUGUACAUAAGUGCUGUGGGGCUGGGUGGAGGGAUGAAUAAUGGAAACCAGUCAGAGUGACACAGAAGGGAGUGGAAGAAAAGGAAAGAGAGCUUAGUCUGCACUAUUACCAUUCUUCCUGUCUCACAAACUGGUAAUAUUGGCGUUAUUCUUGACUCCUCUCUCUCUCAUUCAACCCACAUAUUCAAUCUAUCACUAAAUCCUCUCAGUUCAACCUUCAUAAUAUUACUAAAAUCUGCCCUUUCCUCUCCAUCCAAAACACUUAAUCCAAGCACUUAUCCUAUCCAGCCUCGAUUAUCAUUUCAGCCUCCUUGCUGACCUCCCUGCCUCCUGUCUCUCCCCACUCCUGUCUGUACUUCACUGCUGCCAGGAUCAUUUUUCUACAAAAACAUUCAGACCAUGUUUCCCCAUUCCUCAAGAACCUCCAGUGGUUGUCUAUCCACCUCUGCAUCAAACAGAAACUCCCUACCAUCUGCUUUUAAGCACUCAAUCAGCUUGCUCACUCCUACCUCACCUCACUACUCCCCUUCUUCAAUCCAGCCCAUCCACUUUGCGCCUCUAAUGCCAACCUAUUCACUGUACCUUGAUCUUGUUUAUCUCACCCCCGAACUCUCGUCCACAUCCUGCCUCUGGCCUGGAAUGCCCUUUCUCCUCAUAGCCUCCAAAUAAUUAUUUUCCCCCCCUUUCAAAGCCUCUUUGAAGGCCCAUCUCCUCCAAGAGGCCUUCCCUGACUAAGCCCUCCUUUCCUCUUCUGCCAUUCCUUCUGCGUCACCCUGACUUGCUCCCUUUAUUCAUCCCCCCUCCCAGUCACACUUAUGUACUAGCUGUAAUUCAUUUAUUUAUAUUAAUGUCUGUCUCCCCCUCUAGACUGAAAGCUUUUUGUGAGCAAGGAAUGUGUCCACUGUAUUGUCAUAUUGUAUUCUCCCAAGUGUUUAAGUCAGUGCUCUGACACAGUAAGCGCUCAAUAAAUACCAUCAAUUUAUUGAUUAGAUAUCUGUUCCCCUUCCCCUCAGCAGUGGGUCCAGUGUGGGAUAAGGAUUAUGUACAAUCUGCUUCUAUUUUAUCUGGCCUAAUACUUAGUACAGUGCUUAGCACAGAGCAAGUGCUUAACAAAUAGCAUUAUUAUGUUAGCGAUCAAGCCAGUGGUAUUGACUAAAGGCAGUCAGACAAGUGGAGGGACUUGCCCAAGGUCACCCAGCAGAUACAUGGGGGACCCAGGAAUAGAACCCAUGCUUUCACCUGCUUUCUAUCAAUGAGCAAUGUCCCUUGGCCAGUUAAAGACUGCUCAGGGUGCCUAAUUCAAAAGCCACUUGGGCAGUUUGUAUUUUCAGACAAUUAGGAGGGCAGAGCAGCGUGGCUAAGUGGAAAGAGCCCGGGCUUGGGGGUCAGAGGUCAUGGGUUCGAAUCCCAGCUCCGACACUUAGCUGUGCGACUGUGGGCGAGUCACUUUACUUCUCUGUGCCUCAGUUCCCUCAUCUGUAAAAUGGGAAUUAAGACUGUGAGCCUCACGUGGGACAACCUGAUACCCUGUAUCUACCCCAGCGCUUAGAACAGUGCUCUGCACAUAGUAAGCGCUUAACAAAUACCAACAUUAUUAAUACAGUGCCAAGAAUAGUUUUCACUGGCAUUCACUCUAUAUACACAAGCUGAUCCUAUCCGUAAUGAGGACAGUUUCCCCACUCGGAAAACUUUCCAGUCAUUGUUCCUCUGCACUCUGAGUAGGGGUCUUCUCUAAGAGUUCUGUAUCUCUCCAACCCCCUAAGCAGAUGGGCUGGAAGAGAGGGCCCCCAGGACAUCCUCACUGUAUCUCGAUCUCAUCUAUCUCCACCUCCGACCCCUCACCCAAGUCCUGCCUCUGGCCUGGAACUCUGACAAUCAUUCUCCCUACCUUCAAAGCUUUACUGAAGGCGCAUCUCCAAGAGGCCUUCCCAGACUAAGCCUUCAAUUCUUCCUCUCCCACUCCCAUCCGCAUCACCGUUGCACAUGGAUUUGCACCGUUUAUUCACCCCCUCCCUCAGCCCCACGGCAUGUAUGUACGUAUCUGUAAUUGAUUUAUUAAUACUAAUGUCUGUCCCCUCCUGUCUCCCAGUUCCUCGUGAGCAGGGAAUGUGUCCGUCAACUCUGUUAUACUGUACUCUCCCAAGCUCUUAGUACGGAACUUUGCACACAAUAAGCGCUCCAUAAGCGUGACCGAUG
rnacentral:lncRNA from 1 species